ACACGUUUGACCCAGAGAAAACGGUCCCAGACAGCAGCAGAUCUGUCAACAGGACAGACAUACUCACAGUGGACUGUCUGUUCAAUGAGGAUACAGGAUUAUUGGAGUGUCCGAAGAAUUCAGAUGCAGCUGACAAAACUGUGAACUGGUUACUACAACAGGGGGCAAUAGGCAUCACGAUAUCACCAUGUCAACACAAAUCAUCUAGCUUUACAGAUUUAUUGACAUUUUUCACACCGG